GACGAACGCUGGCGGCGUGCUUAACACAUGCAAGUCGAACGGAAAGGCCCUGCUUUUGUGGGGUGCUCGAGUGGCGAACGGGUGAGUAACACGUGAGUAACCUGCCCUUGACUUUGGGAUAACUUCAGGAAACUGGGGCUAAUACCGGAUAGGAGCUCCUGCUGCAUGGUGGUGGUUGGAAAGUUUCGGCGGUUGGGGAUGGACUCGCGGCUUAUCAGCUUGUAGGUGGGGUAGUUGCUUACCAAGGCUUUGACGGGUAGCCGGCCUGAGAGGGUGACCGGCCACAUUGGGACUGAGAUACGGCCCAGACUCCUACGGGAGGCAGCAGUGGGGAAUAUUGCACAAUGGGCGGAAGCCUGAUGCAGCAACGCCGCGUGCGGGAUGACGGCCUUCGGGUUGUAAACCGAUUUCGCCUGUGACGAAGCGUGAGUGACGGUAAUGGGUAAAGAAGCACCGGCUAACUACGUG
rnacentral:rRNA from 1 species